AGAGUUUGAUCCUGGCUCAGGAUGAACGCUAGCGGCAGGCCUAACACAUGCAAGUCGAACGGUAACAGAAAAAGCUUGCUUUUUGCUGACGAGUGGCGAACGGGUGCGUAACGCGUAUGCAACCUACCUUUUUCUAAGGAAUAGCCCAGAGAAAUUUGGAUUAAUACCUUAUAAUAAUAUUCAUUCGCAUGUUUGAAUAUUUAAAGCUUUUGCGGAGAAAGAUGGGCAUGCGUGACAUUAGUUUGUUGGUGAGGUAACGGCUCACCAAGACUACGAUGUCUAGGGGUUCUGAGAGGAUGAUCCCCCACACUGGUACUGAGACACGGACCAGACUCCUACGGGAGGCAGCAGUGAGGAAUAUUGGUCAAUGGACGAAAGUCUGAACCAGCCAUGCCGCGUGAAGGAUGACGGCCCUACGGGUUGUAAACUUCUUUUGUAUAGGAAGAAACCCCUCUACGUGUAGAGGGCUGACGGUACUAUACGAAUAAGCACCGGCUAACUCCGUGCCAGCAGCCGCGGUAAUACGGAGGGUGCAAGCGUUAUCCGGAAUUAUUGGGUUUAAAGGGUGCGUAGGCGGAAAUUUAAGUCAGUGGUGAAAGCCUGCAGCUCAACUGUAGAAUUGCCAUUGAUACUGAAUUUCUUGAAUCUAAUUGAAGUGGGCGGAAUAUGACAUGUAGCGGUGAAAUGCUUAGAUAUGUCAUAGAACACCGAUAGCGAAGGCAGCUCACUAAGUUAGUAUUGACGCUCAUGCACGAAAGCGUGGGGGAGCGAACAGGAUUAGAUACCCUGGUAGUCCA
rnacentral:rRNA from 1 species